UACGUAGGGUGCAAGCGUUAAUCGGAAUUACUGGGCGUAAAGCGUGCGCAGGCGGCUUUGCAAGACAGAUGUGAAAUUCCCGGGCUUAACCUGGGGGCUGCAUUUGAUACGUGUUGUCUUGAGUUCGGAAGAGGGUCGUGGAAUUCCCAGUGUAGAGGUGAAAUUCGUAGAUAUUGGGAAGAACACCGGUGGCGAAGGCGGCGACCUGGUCCGACACUGACGCUGAGGAGCGAAAGCGUGGGGAGCGAACAGG
rnacentral:rRNA from 1 species